UCUCUCUAUUGUUCUAUCAUUGUAUCUCUAUUGUUUGAUAUCUGUUAAGGUUUAUCAAAUUCAUCUAGAUUUGGUCAAGUUACUAUGAUUCAAACACUGAAUCAAAUUCAUCUAUUGUUUGAUAUUGUUCUAUCACUGUACCAGACCACAAAGAAGAGGGUAAGUGGACCCAAGUGUCCUAUAAUUGGCAAGAGGAUCCAAGGGGUAUGUUGUUUAAAAAGAUUUUCAAUUUUGUUUAUUGGGUUUUCUUUAAAGUGUAGAGAUCUGAGCAUGUGUUUUGCUUUGAUGAUGUGAUUGAAUGUGUGGAAAUAGUUGGAAAUGUUGAGUUUUUGAGAGGAAUCUGAUUGGUGUUAUUGAUAAUUAUUGGUAAAUAUAAAAAAUUAUUGAGACCCAGUUGAUUUUUUGUUGUCAAUUAGUGUUUAUGAGUAUUGUUGAGUGGAUUUGGAGAUCGUUAAGUAGGAAUGAUUAAGUUAUCUGUAAGGAAACAGUAGUGGAUUGGAGUGAUUGGGAAUGGGAAUGGGAAUGGUAUUUAUUUUAAAAAAAUCAUUACUAUGAUUCAACCUCACUAACUAUCAUGGGAUUGGGAUUUAUUAUUUAAACUACUUAAAUUUUUUACACAUUGCCUCCUCUGAAAACUACUUGUCAAGUUUGUGGUCACAUUUUUUUUUUUUUUUUUUAUGAAAGGAUUGUGGUCACAUAUAGUCACAUAUAAUCAAUGUUGAUCUACUUUGCAUUUCUUUCAGAGUGGUCCUGAUAUCAAUGUAGAAUUGCUCUUUAUCUUUCUUUCUUUUUUUGACAUGCAAUGGGGUUGGUUGGAUAUUUUGAGAGAGAAUUGCAACAAUGAGUUUGAGAAGCUGAGCCUAAACAGGAGACCCGACCCAAGCUUUGCCUCUAUCUCUUGGCAGAGGACCCAGCUCUAAAGCAAUUCAAAUCCCAUAAGAAGAGUGUGAGUGGUUUUUUAUUGUUUGUUGUUGUUGUUUGAUUGCAGCAAAGUUUUAGGAAUACAAAGGCACAGCACUUGUUAGUGGUUGAACCCGAUUGCUUUGUUCAAGGGCAUGAUGGUGAAGAUGCCUUGUUACUAAGAUUUGGUGAGUGGUGACAUAUAUAGAAGAGCAAAUUGCAGUAGUACUAUUGGGAAGAUACAUGAUCUCAAUCCCUGUUGGUGAAAUAAUUAAGUGUACACAUAGCGGAGAUCAAGGCUGAUUUCCCUUUUCAUGUAACCGAUGAUGUUAUUCAAAAGCAGCACAUGGAGAAAUUCUGCAGCUAGUUUAGGAACUAUGUUUCAAGAUUGCAAGAGCAGUUGCAAGCUGAAAGAGAUCUUAGAGCUGCACUCGAAGUCGGUUUGAGAAUGUUUUCUGGACAAUUUUCUAGUUCAUGUGGCAUGGAUUCUAAGACAAGGGCUGAGCUAGAGGAGAUUGCACUUGCCGAAGCAGAUGUGGCCAGGUUGAAGCAGAAAUUUGCAGAAUGAGUGACCACUACUGAGUAUACUAUUACCAAUAGGCGUGGAGUUGGGACUACUGGUUCUUCUUGCAAAAGUGUACCAAGGGCAUCUUCUUGCAAAAGUAUUUAAGGAUUUGUUUAAAUACUUUGGAACUUUGAUAAUGGUUAUAGACAAUGUUAUAUGUAUUUAAUAAUAUAUUUCUAUGUUAAUAUUACAUUAGU